rnacentral:rRNA from 1 species
CAGGUAGGACUACCCGCUGAACUUAAAGCAUAUCAAUAA